UCUCAUUUCGCGACCUUCGAGAAAGACGUAAGGUUGUUGUUAUUAUGUCAUUAUUGAAAAAGGUCAUGAACGCGGAUAAAUGUCGCAUUUGGAACCAUUCUGGACAACUACACCGCUCUUCAAGAAUGCAAUAGAGGGUUAAACUGACGUAGUCCAGAAGUUGUGUACUGGUAUACAUUUUUCAAGAUACAUAAUGACCUCCUCAAAUAGUGGUGGUCAGAGAACAGGGACAGGGGAGAAAGGCACAAAAGUAUUUGACCCAACUCAAACACUUGAACGUUCUCAGUCUGAUGCAAUCCUCGGUAUUCCAAAAGUGGCAGUGAAAAAGCGCACCCUUGAAGUGUCAUUGUCAGCAGAUAGUGCAGAAGAAAAAAAUGAUAAAGAAGGGAGAGUAUCCGAAAGCUCUAAGGUGUACUUCAAUCUGUCAGAGGUUGGACCAGAAAAGCAAUUUGUUGAGAGCAAGGACUUAAAGAUACGUUUGAAACUCACCCCAGCUUUAGAACCUAUUCUCCAAGAGGCUGAAGAUGACACAGUCCAGGGAGAGAUUUACCAAGACAGGCUGCUGCUCACUUGUGGCAGUGAUACAUUUGUUCCAGCAUCACCAGAUAGUGAUGAGUUUGGAAAUGGUGGGUCUUUCUAUGCCAAGUAUCCUCUUCGCUUUCCACAUGGAUCAUCUUUGAACAAUUACCGCCACAAUCUCAAGCUGAGUUAUCAGACGCUGUCACAGAAACUGGAGGGCUAUAUUAAUGAUUUGAAAAGUUGUGAUCUAUGUACCCAGUGUGCCAUUUUAGUUCAAAUUUUAGAUGUAGUGAAGGAGGCAUGGGACACCCCUGUGUAUGGUCGUGAUCUAGCAUAUGGGCUUUGUGAUAUAAUACGUAUGGAGGGCCUGCUGGAUAGACUAGUAUACAAUUGUGCCUCUCCUGCGAGGGAUCUCCUUUCUGCUUCAGCCAACCUGCUGGAACAGGUGAUGUCCACCAAGAACAGAGAACGAGUUGCCAAAAUUGGUUUAAUUAUUAUUGUCAAAAUGACAAAGUCUGCUGUUGGAGACAAUAUUAUAGCCAAAGCUACAACAGGUAUUCUGGAAAAUCUGUUCAAACUGUCUGAAGACACCUGCUGUAAAGUGAUUACUCUUGGAGGACUUGAUGUCAUUCUACAUUGGUGCCGUUGUAGUGACAAUCAAAUUUUGAGAAGAUGUGCCAAAGCACUUGCAAACUUAUCUCUCUUUGGGGGUGCUGAAAAUCAAGAGGAAAUGGCAAAAAGACGUGUUCCUGAAUGGCUGUUUCCUCUUGCCUUCAAUCAAGACAACAGUGUGAGAUACUAUGCAUGUCUAGCAAUCUCUGCCUUGGUCGCCAACAAAGAGCUGGAAGCAGCUGUACUGAAAUCUGGCACUCUGGACCUUGUCUUGCCCUUUAUCAAUAGCAACAAACCAUCUGUAUUUGCUCAGAGUGAUCUUACACACAAACAAGGUCGAGACAAAAUUUGGCUAAAACACCUCAUUCCUUUGUUGUUCAGUAGACGACAGGAGGCUCAAGCAUUGGCUGCCUUCCACUUUGCAAUGGAAGCAACUAUCAAAGCUGAACAGGGUAGGCAAGAGAUAUUCCAUGAGAUAUGUGCAGUACAACCACUCAAGAAGAUAGCAAGCAGCCCCAAUGCUGUGGCUUCAAAACUAGCAGCAGAGGCUCUGAAGGUGAUAGGUGAAAAAAUCCCACAUCGUUUGUCACAGCAGGUGCCGCUAUGGACUGUCAAUGAUGUCUCCUACUGGGUCUCUCAGGUUGGAUUCAGCAAGUAUUCAAGUCAUGUGGAGGAAGCUGAGGUUGAUGGUGACCUGCUGCUUAUACUCAAUGAUGAUGAUCUCCGGGAAGGCCUGCAGAUGACCUCCAGCAUUGUCAGAAAGAGAUUCUUACGAGAGUUGAAAUCCCUGAAGAUCUCUGCUGACUACACCUCUUGUGACGCAACAGGGCUUGACCCAUGGCUGAUGAGUCUGACCCCUGACCUCUCUCAGUACACCUACUACAUGUUACGCCAGGGUGUUGAUAAGUUCAUGCUUCGCUGUCUAUCUGAAGAUGAACUCAAGUGUGAAUGUGGAAUCAACAACAGCAUUCAUCGAAGGAAGAUCAUACAGAACCUUGAUGAUUUGUCAAGUCCUAAUUCAAGCCGACAAAAUCUUGUGAUGGCAGUUGGAGAUCUGGCGUCAAGUCUUGGCAGUGGUCUGAGGGCUAAUGAUGUAUUUCUAUCCUACAGGCGCUCCAAUGGGUCACAAUUGGCAAGUUUACUGAAAGUUCACCUGCAACUUCGAGGAUUCUCUGUAUUUCUGGAUAUUGAUCGCUUAAGAGCUGGGAAGUUUGACGAAAAUCUGUUAUUGAGCAUCCAUCUUUCCCGUAACUUCAUCCUCAUCCUAACUCCGAACUCUCUAGACCGAUGUAUUGGGGACAGCAACAGGGAGGACUGGGUGCACAAAGAAAUUGUUGCUGCGCUGGAGAGCAACUGUAACAUAGUGCCCAUUAUGGAUGGGUUUGAGUGGCCGCCGCUGGACCAGCUGCCCGAUGACAUGCGAGCUGUUGUCAGGUUCAACUGUGUCAGAUGGGUGCAUGACUAUCAGGAUGCCUGCGUGGACAAGCUGGAAACUUUUCUCACACCAGGAUCUGGGGUCCAUGGGUGCAGCAGCAAACACACAAAACCUUUGUCACAUCAGGCCUCCACACAAAGUACCAUGUCCUCACCAUCCCAAGAUGAUGCCCACCUCCGUCCUUCAGAUUGCUUGGCAAUUAAGUCACACACCAGCUCUCACUCUCUACAUGAUCUGGUAUGACAAUGGCUCUUACAGGACCUUGAAAGUGAUACCACAUAACCUGGAACUACAAACUGACUAUAACAUAAACAAUUACUCGACUUCAUGGUUCCAACAGCACCUUGUUUUUGAGACAAUCUACUAUAGACUAGCUACUACAAGGCCGCCUUGUUUCAAGAAAAACAACUAUUGGACUUUGGUUUGUCAUUAGAUACCACAUUAGGUACAAGAUAGUGUUACAUCGAUAGCUUCAACAGGAACUUGUUUGUGAUUACAUCAAUAUCACUUUGUGUUUCUCCAUGCUCAGCUUCAGAUGGAGCAGGAAGGUGGAAGAGGAUAAAAAAUGAAAAAAUAAAAAGUUUCAGAUGGUCUGACGUCGACAAUGUCAUAUUCCAGUGUGGACGUCUUCAGGCUACUCAUGGUUGGGGCGACAGCAUCUGAUUCCCGGACGUAAUAUUAACUGGCAUUAUCCAUGACAAUGACACUGACGUUGUUUAAAAUGUCGAAAAUGUUGUUCCUUUUUCGCCUCGAAAACAAGCACAAAUCCAUCAAUAAGCCCCAUAUCUUGGGUUGCGGCAUGCAAAACAAUGUCACGAUCACCUGAUGGUACCAUGGGUGCUUAUUUCCAUCUGCCAACUGCCAUUUGUAGUCAGUGGAGUGAUUCUUCAAGGUAAAUUAUCUGGACGCCCUGACUGUGAUAGUUAUGAAUGGUCCGGAGAUAAUGUGACCUCAUAGACAGGAUGGAAUAUUAUCCCCUGGAAACUGCUCGGUCAUUGCCACGCGCAGUGUAUCGAGAUCCCAUCUCAUGGAGAGCAAUAGUUAGUGCAGUCUGGGAAACAUUAAUUGUAUCUUUAAAUCCUCAUGAAUUCUACUACAAGUCGGGGGUACCUUCUGCCCAUAAAGCUUGUACACUGUACGCCUAAUCACCCUGUUUCAAAGCUGUCUAAUGUACUUUUACGUCCCGGUUUUGUUUUUGAGACCACCCCUAUACUUGUUUUGUUUUCUUAUCAUACCUUAGACUUUGUGGUAUGAAUUGAUAACCCCGAAGCUUGGGCAGUUCGGUAUCUAAAUUAAUUAAUGGUUCCCCUCCGUCUCUCUAAAGUGUAAAGAAUGUGUAUACAUUUCCUAGUACAGACUCCAUGUCGUGGACCAUGGCAAUGGCUAUGGCUAUGCAAGUGUAAUGUAACAUGCAUCAUGGGAGCAGUGUUGACAAAACAAACGCAGCCUCAUUUUGUCAUUUUGCACAUCUAGAAUUUUCUACCAUUGAUUUUUGUGUGUGUAUUAAAUGUUUUUAUGAAGACUUCAUUAUUAUCAUUAUAACGGAGUCACAUGCGCAAAUUUCAAUAGUCCGUUUCAGACUGACAUCAUUGGACUUUCUGUUUUCGUUCAAAUUUGUCUCCUGUAAACUUGUUGAUAGGACUCCUUGUGACUGAAGUACUUCAAACCUUCAUUUCAAUAACAACAGUUUGUGAAAAAUUAUAUCCAUUUAACAGGCAAAAGCAGUUUUCUAGCAUUUCUGACAGUAGUUUAAACAUAAUUCCUGAUAUUAACCACUGAAAAAGAAAACACCAGCUGCAUUCAAUAUUUACACUUUUUAUGUAACCUUUUCUCAAGUUAUAUCUUAAUGUACAUUAUAAGAUGUAGCAGUAUCAGGGCUUGAUGCUGUUUUAUGCGUCCUGCGUUGAGUUUUAUAUCAUGAGCCAAGAUAUUAAUGACUCGCACAGAAGUCCAUGUGGUUUUUUUGUGGCGGGAUAUACAGGAUUUAUUCUCCCACUCAGAAAUUGAUUUAGUUUAUCAAGAUCAUGUGAACAAAUCAGAUUAACAUCCUGGUAUGCAGUUAAGAUAAUCGUCAUUGUCUAAGCCACCAUAACACCCAGCAAUCUGUGACACAACCUACAACAAAAAUAAAUCAUGUUCACAUUUGGUGUUACUUUUCAGUAUUGCUACUUCUAGGCUACACAUUUUGACGUUGCUGUUCGGAGGAUUCCAUGAUAUUCCGAACUGCCAAAGAAAUACGACUGUUUUCAUUAUGAAAAAAUGAAAAGGGUGGUUGUAGUCGGUCAAAACUGACAUGAAAUACAUGCGCAGGCCUAAGAAGUGUAGCAUUUGGUCAGUUACCCUAUUUCGCAUUGAAGGAAUGAUUUAAAUCGAGUGCUCAAAUGCACCUUUACUGAAGUCGAUUGGAUGCAUAAUGAACUGUUGCUCAUGUUGUUUGUUUUGUUUGUUUGUUGUUUAACGCCACACUCAGCAAUAUUCCAGCUAUAUGACGCUGGUCUGUAAAAUCAAGUACCAGACAAUUCAGUGAUUUACAUCAUGAACAUCGAUCCACGCAAUUUGGAUCGAUGACAUGCAUCAACCAAGUCAGCGAGCCCAUUGGACAAGUAUAUACACACUCACAUAUGUAUUUGACAGAGCGCCAAAAUGUUUGCCUUAUGAUGUACAAUAGUGGACAGUAAUACUACUUAGGAUAAUUAAUGACAUCUUUAAAAUAUCUAUUGCGUUUCUUAAGUGCUAAGAAAAUAUAUUUCCCUAGACUGUUAAGUAAAGGCGGAUUCGAGCUUGAGAAUAGAAUUUUACGUUUUUGCUGGUUUGGAUGGACAGAAUAAUACUUUGGUAAAAUGCUGUCUCUUAAAUCUGCAUAGAAUGGACAUUGGAGCCAAACUUCUCCAAUACCAUACUUAUAUAACAAGUUUUAUAACAUCAUAAGCUCAGUAUUUUUCCCCAUUUCGGCAUUACUGAACUCGAAGUGGUAGCAUACUUAAGAAUACUAUUUGAUUUUUGGCUCAGCAAUCGCAACCAAUAAGUGAUUAUUUUCUUAUAUUGAAAACCUUCACAGAAAAUCGACCAACCUCCCCUCUCGCAGCUUUAUUCGGGGUUUGACUAAUUUACAAAAUCUGUCAUGAAUUAUAUCAACAUCUAGGGAUGGGUGCAAACCCCAUACCUCAGAUCCAUAUAAUAAGAUUGGCAUGAUUUUAAUAUCAAAGACAUGAAGCUGUAUUCUUAUAGGAAGUUUUUGAAACAUAAAGUGGACAGCCAGAAGUGACCGCCCCUUGCUAAUACCGACACAUUCAUCGCCAACAUCUACAGAAUUGGUUCCGAACUACCACAUGGACAGCUGCAAAGUUACCUGUUUUGGAAAUAUCCAAACAUUUGUUACUUGCGUUUCUUUUGCGGAUCAGUAUAUUUAUAUUCCGUUUGUUUCAGUGCUAAUGUCUUGCCUGUAUGUAUAUCAAUAUCACCUGUGCAUUGCUUGAGUUGAGGAGCAUAUGAUCUUUAUCCUUUCAUUGACAAUAUGACAAGUGUAAAUAUUUCCAAGAUAAUUGGGGAGUGUUGUUCUGGGUGGAAUGAACAGCCCAGCAUAAUUGAAUCACAUGACAAUGGCAACAGUCUUGUGUGAAAUGAAGGUCUAGUCUGCAGUAUACUGAUUGUGGACACCAUGUGAAAUGUGACAGGGCGAUUCACCUUCUGUGUUGAUCUGUUCUUCUUUCCAGAGUGGAAGAUCUUUUGUUUUGUUGGAAGAAAAGUCUAUUUUGUUUCCUAUGUUCUGGCUGUUGUACAAGUUCCAUAUAUACAAGCACUUGAUAAAUUAGCACUGUCAGAAACACAACAAUUUUCAUGGAUGCGGUAAGAAGAAAAAAAGAAUUGAGCAUUUAUUAUCAUUGGCAGUGAAUCAAGUGCUUAUGUAUUUUGGCCAACUUUUGUUUGUUAUCCAGUAAAAUGUCAGUUGAAUACCAAGAUCUGGUUGUUGCAUCAGCCCUUUAUUCUGUCCUCAUUCAAAACAAAGACAAUCAUAUUCUCAAAGCUAUCCAUUUAUGUUACGAAAUACAAAACCUAAUUAACCAUUCACAUCGCAUCGUACUUUUACUCGUGAGUAUGAAAAUUAGAGAAAAUAGCAUGGGCACAAACAACACUCCAACUCCCUACUAUUGAGUUUAAUAAGCAACCUUGGUUUCAAAUUGCCACUUGCUCCUAUAAAACAACUGGACAACUAAUAUGCAAUUGACAUCCUCCCUUAUAAGCUCCAAACACUCUGUCAGUGCAAAGGUAUCGUUUCUUCCUUUUCAUUUAUCAAUACUUAUUCCUAAAAUACAUAUACAUUUUGAAGUGGCAAGUUAAUGAAUAUGGCUGUGGACCAUGUGUCUCCUUGCUGAAAAGACUGGAGUCCUGUAAAAUGGAUAAUUUAGAUCACAGCCUGUUUGUGAAUUUUUACUGUUCAUGUUUUGGGCACCCGGUGUUUAUGGAUAUUUCUUCUGGGAUCAUGUUGAUUGAUUGAUUGUUCGUUGUUUCACUCAACACUCAGCAAUAUUCCAGCUGUAUGACAGCGGUCUGUAAAUAAUCGAGUCUUGACCAGACAAUGCAGUGAUUAACAUCAUGAGCAUCGAUCCACGCGAUUGGAAUCGAUGACAUGCUUCAACCAAGUGAGCGAGCCUGACCACCCCAUCCCAUUAGUCGCCUCUUACGACAAGCAUAGUCGCCUUUUAUGAUACAUGUGGGGCAGUGCGAUUUGGUGGGCUGUUGCCGAUCUUCUCAUUCAUUGGAAUAUUUGGAAAUAAGUUGUCCUCGUGUGUAAUGCACAAAAAUACUUUUUUACAGGACCUUGUGAUAUCCUGAAUAAAAAAACUGUUUAGCUUCUUUCAGAGGAAAAUGCAUUGAAAAAUCUUGAAGCAGUAACAAAAUCUCCAAAUGACAAAUUCAAUCAUGAUAAUAUUUUGCAUUUGAAAGUCUCAAUAUCGUGUAUGCUGCUAUCUUAGCUUGUGCACUGUAACAAUAACUGCCGCAGUACUAAAGGAUUGAAAACUUCUAUGAAGCUUACUUGUUAGUUUUGUACUUGGUGAAUGUAUGUAUCCAUUCAUCAAACUCCUGUCGUUGCCCUGUUGUCCUGCAGGACGGGCCACAACGCCGACCUCAUGUCUGGGAUUGUAAAACAUGGGGGCAGAAAGGCGAGGGAAAGUAUAACAUGAGGGCCAAGCCCGAGGCUCUGUUCCCGAUGGUUUACAAUCCAAAGAAUAACAGAGGAGACGUAUUUUAUCUUGUUUAUCCUAAUAAAUAUAAUAUCAAAAUAAAUGGAUAAAAUAAUUCGAAUGGGGAGCAGAAAACAUAUUGGAGAAACUUGUUCCCCUAUACAGAAGUAGACUCGUCUGGCGCCUAGUUAAUUUCGCACGUGCAACACAACUUUCUUUUGAAACUCGGGUAUUUCUUUCAAACAUAUAUAACUUUUAACUUUCUAUUUAUAAGAAAGUCAUUUAUGUCAUUACCCUUUCUGUGAUAGUAAUACAUGGUUUUUUUUAUGAUGUUGCUUUAGUUGAUACAACAAAUAAGAACUGCAGUGUGUGUGUGUGUGUUAUCAGCACGAGUUGAGGUGAGAUGAAAUGGUUCAAUGUCGAGUGUGUGCUUGUACUUUAGAGUGCGAACCCACCGAGAUACCAUGCCGCAGUUUAACACGGACACCUCACUCAGACACAGUAUACUGACUCCGACCCUAGAAGUCCUUGUUCUGUGAUGUCUUGGUAUGACGCGGGCAGGGGAUUGGCCGAACACACGACAUAACUGAGGCGGCUUUGGUACGAACAGACCGCAUUAUUUUCAAUAAAGCGUUCGAAUUUGUGAGCACUGAAAUCGCCACAUCUCCCAGUAUAUUAUAAUUUAACAAGUAAAAGAAAAGAAAAAGAUCUGGGUCUUUGGAUGGGAAAGCAAUGUUAUUUUUUGAUUGGUUAAAAGUCACAAUUCAUGACAUGAAUCGAACCUGCAACCUCACAUUAUUAUCGUGUUUAGUUUCCUAACUGAGCCACCAGGGUAGAUUAUGAAAGGGUGUUUAAUCCUACAUAUCAUGACUUGAGUUGUGUGCAUGCUGCUUGAGGCCUUUCUCUCGUACGUUUUCAUCCGAAUUCCUUUUAUACCGCGACGCACUGUAUUGUUUCACUAUGAGAUAUUCCGAUGUGUUCUUAUUUUGUCUGGCAUUUCUUGCAUUUAUACGGUUUAUAAGUUGGACAAAAAACCUCCACCCCGGUCUUGACUUAGAAUGUUGGCCCUGGGUAUCGGUCCUCCAUAAUAAUCCUCUGCUUUGGGCUUACUUCUCAGUCAAGAGUCGGUUUUUAAGUGCGAGACGAGGGAGAUUCGAGGCCUUACGUCUACGACUUGACUUGCGACUUAUCCACUGGCCCAGUGCCGUCGGGAUAUCGGAAAACAUCGACUUUUCUGCCGGUUUCGAAUACUGAUUCCCUGAUUCCAGAACGGUGCCUGAUUCCAGCCAUUCAGCUGUGACAAAUACUGGAUAUUUGUGAGCCCACUGACUUUUGUGAUGGGCCCAUUAUUUAUUGCUGUUGCUACAUAUAUGUAAGCCAUUGUAUUGCCUGAUAUGAUUGUUAACUAAUCCGGUGUAUUUCAAUAUGAUGUGUUGAUUGUU
rnacentral:misc_RNA from 1 species